rnacentral:rRNA from 1 species
CGGAGGAUCCAAGCGUUAUCCGGAAUCAUUGGGUUUAAAGGGUCCGUAGGCGGGUUUAUAAGUCAGUGGCGAAAGCCCAUCGCUCAACGAUGGAACGGCCAUUGAUACUGUAGAUCUUGAAUUAUUAGGAAGUAACUAGAAUAUGUAGUGUAGCGGUGAAAUGCUUAGAGAUUACAUGGAAUACCAAUUGCGAAGGCAGGUUACUACUAAUGGAUUGACGCUGAUGGACGAAAGCGUGGGUAGCGAACAGGAUUAGAUACCCUGGUAGUCCACGCCGUAAACGAUGGAUACUAGCUGUUCGGAGCAAUCUGAGUGGCUAAGCGAAAGUGAUAAGUAUCCCACCUGGGGAGUACGUUCGCAAGAAUG